rnacentral:rRNA from 1 species
GACGGAGGAUGCAAGUGUUAUCCGGAAUUACUGGGCGUAAAGGGCUGGUAGGCGGCCAACUAAGUCAGACGUGAAAUCCCCAGGCUCAACCUGGGAACUGCGUCUGAUACUGGAUGGCUUGAAUUCGGGAGAGGGAUGCAGAAUUCCAGGUGUAGCGGUGAAAUGCGUAGAUAUCUGGAGGAAUACCGGUGGCGAAGGCGGCAUCCUGGACCGACAUUGACGCUGAACAGCGAAAGCUAGGGGAGCAAACGGG